UCUGGAUCGCUAAGGAAGGAGAAAAAUAAGGAGAUGGAGACAUGGUGGAAAAAAAAAAAAAAAGACUCCAGCAGAGACUCCAGCAUCCUGUGAUGCACUGAACGCUAGCCGGUGUCCACGGAGGUCCGGUGACUCGGUAUGCACAAUGCCACACACUUGGAAACUGGAAACACAUCUACAUGGCCCUGUGCAGCAACUACAGGGACCAAUGGAGGCCACACUUCUCUCUCCUGUCACGGACUUCAGCUCCCAGGAGCAACCCAGGAACCACCAGAAAUGCCAGCCGGCCGGGAUGUCAAGCCCUUUCAACAGGUCCCUGAUCGAUGUUCCUGCCAGAGUAGCUGCUUGUGGCUGUCCCUGUGGCCUAUGUGACGAUGGCAUCAGGAGGUGAUAAGGUCAAGAGGGCGAAGCCCUCGGGAUUGGAAUCCUGCUGGCUUCAAAGGGAGCUGCCUGCACCCCACCCCGCAGAAGGACCCAUGGAGAGCUCACCAUCCAUCUACUGCUGACUUUCCUCAUUGCCAUGGCAAAGGAUCAAACAGAAGCAACUUGAGGGAGGUGCUGCCUUUGUUGGCUCACGGUUUUCUGGGUUCAGUCUGAUCUGGUGGAGAAAGCAUGGCGGAUGUCUGGAGCUAGUGGAUAAACUUGUUCAGAUCUUUGUGGAUGGGGAAGCAGGGCUGAGUUCUAUCCCUCCAGGGGGACCCAGUACUGCUAGGUACUAGACCCAGAGUCCCAAAGUUUUCCCAACCUUCCAAAGCAAUACCUUCAAUAGAGGAGCAUGAGCCUGUGAGAGAUUAAGCAAAUCUUAACAGUGGGGAAGCAAAGGCUAAGUUUGUCAGAGCCUUGCCCUUGUACUUCCAGCCCCAGGUCUCUAGAGCAGUGACUCUAUAGUUCAUAAAGCUACCCAGCCUGUGAUAUUUUCAGAUCACAUCUCAGAUGGACUAAGGCAAUUUUUAACUAAACCCUAUUUGUUGUGGUAUUUCCAAACCCUCUUUGUAACCCUCCUGAUACCAGCACAUUUACAGGAACUAAAAACUGGACUCUAGAGCCUUGCUUUCUUUUUUCCCCCCUGCUUACAUGUUUUCUGAACAUCUGAAUUUGCAAUGUUGUAGAAACCAAAGGUUUUACACAAGAUUAGAGUCUUUUAGCCUCCCUACAAAACUCAGAAAUCUUGUGAAAUAGGGUCCUUGGUUUCUCCUGGGCAGAAGACUGAAGGAGAGAGACAGGAAGACAGAAGGGAAGGAAGGCAAGGAGAGAGACAAAGUCAGAGAGAGAGAGAGAGAGAGAGAGAAAGGGGGGAGGUAGAGAGAAUAAAAGAGGGGGCAAGACUAAAGGUAAGAGGGGGAGGUACAUAAGGAGGGGAGGAGAGAGACAGAGUCAGAGAGAGGGGGAGAGAAGGAGGAAGGGAGAGAGAAAGAGGGAGAGAGGUGAAAGGAAAGAGGAGGGAGGAAGGAAGGGAAGGGGAGAGAGAGGUAAAAGGGAGAGGAG
rnacentral:lncRNA from 1 species